AUAAAUAUGUAUGUAAUAAGUAGGUAUUUACUUUUACUGAUCCAGAUAUCCAAUAUCUAAGAAUUUUAUGUUCAUUGAAAUGUUUUUCACAUACAUGGGUAUUAUUCGUAAUAUCAAAAUCUUGUUACAAAAUAUCUCUACUCCAUUUUAUUUUUUAGGUAUAAAUAUACUACAUACUUUUGAUUUUCAAAUGGCACUAAUAUUAAAAAUUCCAUACAUAGAUGCAGUAUUAGCUAAAAUAGUUUAUUUAGCAAUAAUGUACUAAAUUCAGUGACAAGAUAUACCACCUUUAAUCUACCUAGUAUCUACAGUUUUUAAUAAUAUUUCAAAUAUUAUAUUAUUAAAAAGUGUUAACUGGUAAGCUAUCAAUUUUAAUUGGCUAUGUUAUUUCUUAUUUAAAUUAAAUAAUGGAUAAAUAUUGCUCAUUUGAAACUUUAUUGGGUAAAAGUACCAGCAAGUGUAAAACAUAUCAUCUGUCAUCGUGAAUAUGAAAUAAAGGUAGGAGACAAGCAAUUUAAAUAGUCACUUAAAAGUUUGAGACCCAAAAAUAUAUUUGAAGAUCCUAUACAUGAAAAAAACACUAAAUGAAAAAGGGGAAGUAUGUAAUAUAAAAUGUUUAAUCAUGUUGACACUUUAAUUACCUAACUUAUUGCAUAUUAAUAUAUUAAUAGAACAACACUCCAAAAUUUGUUUUCUUUAUCAGAAGAAUGAAGUUGAUGAAAUUGCACACAUUAAUAGUGCUAACAUGUUGAAUGAUAACAAAAAAUGAAGCAGUAUUGAUGGAGAUAUUCUCAUGGAAAACAAUUAUGACUAAUUUAUGUAUAGUCAGAGUGGCCAGAGUCAAACUUCCAAGGAAGGUUUUACGACUCAAUCUUCAAAAAACAAAUUAGAUUAAUGGUUUUAAAAUUAAUACAAAGUAAAGACAAUAAGAUUAAGACUUUUAGUUCAUUAACAGAAUUGGGGUUGAUUUUCAAAAUCUAAAAAGGAUUUUGAUUUUUGAUUUUAAAAAAUCUUUAAUUAUUAUUGUUCUAAAAAAAAAAAGAAUGAUUCAAUAAUUAAUUUCAAGAAAACACAUGAUUACACUAAUUUCAAUUAUCGAGAGUAACAAUUUUGAAACUGAUAGACUAUAAAUAAAAAAAUCAAUUCCAAAAUUGUUCCCAUCGAUAAAUUAGUGUAAUCACAUUUGCCACCCGUUUUUGGUUGAUGUAGCAUACUUAUUAUAAAUAAGGC